AUUUGUAUUUAUUGCCAGAUUUAUUCAUUGUCAAAUCAGAAAAUUCCUGGUUUUAUUUCGGGCAGCAAAUGAAAUGAACUCGCUGUCAAAAUUUUGUAAGCUCAAAGGCAGAAAAAAUGUGAAUUGAUAAAUUUUUUUUAUUGAGUUUCUUGCAAUGAACUAUUUUAUAAGAAUCCAUAUAUAUUUUACAUUAAAUGAUGGGAUUUAAAAAAAUUUUAUCAAAUAAAUCAAUUUUUGAUUGCUAAAAAAAAAGAAAUAAAUAAAAAAAAUUUCUUGUCUAGAAUUUUCAGUAAUUUUGACAAAAUAAAAAUUAUUAUUUAGUUUAAUUUAUUUGCUGAACGUAGUUUUAAAUGCUACUGAAUGAGAGCGUCUUAUAUCAUUAUACCUCUCGUUCCCUCUCCGACUUCACGAAGACAUGAAAUGAGCGGCGUUUAUAUACAAUAAGACCCAAGCUCGCUCAGAUAACAUUUAUACAAAUGUUACGAGAAAAUUAAACAGAAGUAAUCACCAACAGUGCACUGCUAAAAUACACUUUCUUACUCAAUUGUAGCCUUCUCUUCGUUCGUUGGAAUCAUAAUGACGCUAGCCGAAUGUAACAUCAGUCGCAACGUUCGGCAACAGCUAUAUUACUCUCUCUUCCACUCGAUGUGAGAAUUAGAGGAUAAAAGAGAAACUAAGCUUACAGCGCAAGCUCACUCAGCAUAUUACACCAACAACUUUAUGCAAGCUCUCAGCAUACAAAAUGUAACAGAAUUAGUAAACUGUAAAAUAACAGAGAAAGAGCAGCAACGAAUACCGAGUCUGUUAUAUAGGUAUAUACUAAGAUAAAACUGUUACGAGUCGAAUAAAUGCUGCGACAUAUACUAA